rnacentral:lncRNA from 1 species
AUUUGGUUUAGGAUUUGAUUAGGGAUUGGUUUAAGGUUUAGGAUUUGAUUAGUAUUAGAUUAGGAUUUAAUUUAGGAUUUAGGAUUUAUCUAGGAUUUGAUUAAGGUUGGAUUAGGAUUAGGGUUUGGUUUGAAUUUAAGGUUCUAUUAGAUUCUUGUUUGGAUUUUAUUAAGUUUUCUUUAAUAUUCUUUUAUAUUUUUUUAGGAUUUCUUUGAGUUAUUUUUAUAAAUUCAAUAAAAUUUAAUUGGGCUUACUUAAUAUUUAACUAUGAUUAUUAACAUUUAAUUGUAAUUUCUUUAUAAUCCUAUUGGAUUGUUAUGACCUUUUGUUGCAAUUUUCUUUUAUCUUCCAUAGCUAGGUACUUGGUACAUUCUCAAGCAAGACUUCACGUAAUAUGACAUAUUUGGUGAACCUGACGUGAAAAACUUAAGGUGGGAGGUAUUUGGAGUUUCUUUGAUCUAUUUGGGUUAUAAAGAAGGAAGGCAAGAGAAUGGAAGGAGGAGCUUUUGGUAGUGCUUCAAGUAGAGUUGAAAGUGGAACUUCAAUUGAAAGACAAGGUAUGUAUUUUGAUCCCAACUCUGCAAGCAUGUUUGAGGCAUUGGCCUUAUUCAUGCAACAACAACAGAUUAAAGACCACAAAGAGGGUAUAGUAGACAAAGCAUAACAAGCUGUUGUAGACAAGAUUGAUCAAUUUGAAUGGAAGGAUAUUACAAAAUAUUUAAGGUAUUAUAUAAGGAAAAUAGAAUUGAAGUGUGUUUCAAAGAAAGAGAUGGUUUAGCUAUUUGAAUUGGCUACUAUAUCAGAAAUAAGAAAUCAUUUGAAGUCUAUUAUAGGAUAUUUUGGAGGUUCAUGGGAAAAAUUAUCUCAAACAUUAAAGGAUGAGUAUUUUUUAAAAGAUAGUGAUUGAGUUAUAAAGAAGUCAUUUUUUGAAUGGAUUGAAAGGCUUAAGAAGGAUCUACUAGUAAUAGAGUUAGUAAGGGAGUUUGAAAAGUAAUAUUCUUGUUUAUUAAAGAAGGAGAGGUAACUAUUAGAUCUAAGUAAAGUGGAGUUUUUUCUUCAAGCAGCUAAUGGAGAAUUGCAAGAGAAGUUGGAAAUUUUGCUAGAAGAUAAAGAAGAAGUUGAAGGAUUGACAAAAAAUUGGGAGAAAUUAGAAGAGGUGAUUGGAGUGCUUGCAAAAAGAGAAAGGAGAAAAGAUAGGAUAAAAAUUCAAAGACCAUUUCAAGCAUCUAAAGAAAAAAUGCCUACUAUCUAUCCUACAUCUACGAUUCAACUUUCAAUGGCUACAGCAAAGAGAGAAGAAAUGGGCAUUGAUGAAAUCAUAUGAGAGAUGAGAGAUUUACAAAUAAAAUUUGUAAAACUUUAAGAGAUGGAUCAAUCAUCAAGAAUAUCAACAAGACAAAAAUUAAGACCAAUAGAAGGUAUGGUGCAUAGGUGCAUGUGGUGUGAUAAAAUAGAUCAUUUAAGAAGGGAGUGUGAAGAUUUUUCAGAGGUGCUAAAUAAAGGAGAUUUUUUUUUUAAAGAUGGUAUGAUAUACUUAAAAUAGAGUGGAAAAAAAUCAAAGAUAAAUUUUGGUAAAGGAGGAAUGAAGGUAUUUGUAAGGGAUGCUUUCAAGGUUUAUAGAACUUCAAGUAAUUAAGCAUCAAUAUUUAGGGUGGAAGCAAAUCCAAGCAAAUGCUUCAGUAUAAAUCUUGAAUAUUUAGGAGAAUCUAGUUCUUUAUGAUCAAGUACAAUGAUUUAUGCUGAAAAGGGAAAUUUUACUGGAGAUGAUGUAAAAAAUAUUAGCAAUAACAUUCGGCAAAUUACUGGAUAGGAUGAUUUAGUAGAUAGAUUAUCAAUUCAUGCUCAUAUUGUAAGGAGUCAACAUGAAGCAUUAAUAGAAAAAAAAUAAAGGAGAGACGAAAAUCAUGAAGGGCCAUCAAAAAGAAUCACAAGGAGAGAUAAAACUUGACAAUAGAAGAAUCCUAUGCAUGAAGAGAUAAUAGAGAAUAUUUCUACAAAUAAGACGGAGAUUGUGAAAGAAAAAAGAAAGAUUCCUACUUAUAAAUUACAAUCAGAUAUUGAAGCUGCUAUAGAUUUGAAGAAAGUAUUGGAGGAGCAGAUUUUAAGUGGAAAGGUUGAAUUUAUAAUUGGUAAAAUUCUAGGAAUUGUAAAACGAGAAUUUUAUGAAGUUAUUAUUGAUAAAAUAAAAAGAAAAUGGUAAUCUAUUGUUGAUAUUAUGACAUCAAAUACACAAGGUAUAAAGGCAAUAGGAAGCAAUGAAGAUGAAGAAAUUGAAAUGCAAAUUAUUAGAGAUGUUUCACAAGUGAAAUUUACAAGAAAAGAAGAUAUGAUUCAAGCUUCUAGUCAUUAUUCUUGGAAUCAUUGGGCAAGGGCUACUACGGAAACUUUAGUAAAAUUGAGAGAUUUAAAAGAACUAAUUAUAGUAUUGAUUGAUUAUGGUUCUGAAAUAAAUUUAAUAUCAACAGAAUUAUAUAAAAGGAUAAAUUGGCCUAUUGAUGUUGAGAAUGGGUGGAUGACAAGAGCAGCAAAUUAUUUAAAGAGGAAUUUGUAUGGAGCUUGUCCAAAUAUCAAGGUGUCAAUAAGAGAUGUUAUUCAUGAACAAAAUUUCUUUGUGCAAGAUAUGUCUACAUAUCCUAUUAUAUUAGGACAACUAUAUAUUACUGCCACACGAAUGGAGAUAAAGAUUAUGGAUGAUGGAUCAGCUUAUGCAAGGAUAAGAAGUCAAGACGAAAAGAAGGCAGUGCAAUUUUUAACAGUUUGUGCAAAUCAUGGAAGAAAUAGGGAUAGUUUGAGGGAACAUCCUUUGCCAAAGAUACACAAAGAAUUUGAAGAUCUAGAAGACUUAAAGGAUUUUUACUAGACGCCAUUGUCAAGCGAGAUUACAAUGGUAAAAAGAGUGAAGGCUUUUUGCGUAAUAGAAAGGAUGAAGAUAUUGUAGGAUUAUCUCGAGACAGAUAUAUUUUAUUCAAAAAUAUAAAUAAUUUUAGUAGGAUAGAUAAGAAAAAUAUUAAGAAUGUAGAACAAAGAUUAAAGAAAUGUAGAAUGAUUGAUAAAGAUGAAUACAUAUCAAGAAUGUUUGAAGAAUCUUGUUUUGGUGAUACUAUGGAUGAUUUACAUAUAUUAUUGAAUGAAGAUUUUAAAAGAAGUGAUAAAGUAAUAAAUUUCCAUUCUGAGAAAUUUUAUGAUAGAAUAAAAGAAUAUAUGGAUAAGUAUGAAGUGAAGGUGAACACAAAAUACAAGACUGUUGCAAAGAAGGUUAAACCGGUGGCAUUGCUACUACCAUCGGAUUUUGAAGAAAGGAUUAAAGGGGCUUCUUUGCAACCUAACUUAAGAGAUCCAAGGAAAAUAGGUCAUGAAUUCAAGGAUAAUUUGACAUUAGAUGGUUUAAAAAUUGGAUGUGAUAAAAUUUUCACAAGAGAUGAGGAGAGAUAUUUUAAAGAAAUACUUCACGACAUGGUAAAGCAUUUGCGUUUGAAUCACAUAAAAUAGGGUGCAUUGAUCUAAGUAUUGUAGCACCUAUGGGUAUUUUUACAAUUCCACAUGAACCAUGGAAUUUGAGGCCAAUUCAAAUUCCAAAGGCCCAUUUGCCAAAGCUAAUUGAAUUACUCAAGGAAAAAAUUAAGAUGGAAAUUUUAGAACUAUCUAUUGUAUCAUUUUGUAAUUAGUGGUUCAAAGUAUCUAAAAAAAAGGAACAUUGAGGUUUAUUUAAGAUAUGCAACCAAUAAAUAAAAUGACUAUUAGAAAUAUGGACUCAAGUCUAAUUGUAUAUGAGUUUGCAGAGGCAUUUGUAGAGAGAUCAAUUUAUUCUAUAGGAGAUUUUUACUCAAGAUAUGAUCAUUUUCAAUUGACAAUGUAUGAUUGCUCGUUUUACUUAUUCUAAAUUAAUCUUAUAGGAAUAAAUCCAUAAAGGGGGAUUUGAUCACGGAGAAUGACUAGUUGCUUAAGUGUUCACGUGAGGGUCACACAAUCAAUUAUCUCUUAAAUGUAUCAUCUCUAUUUCUAAUAACUGAACACACAAGUAAACUAGAAUCUCCUCCUUCACCUUAUCGAUCUCUUCCUUAUAGAAUUUCAAUCAUACGAAUAACUGCUAUUUCCACCAAUAUAUUCACCGUCAUAAUCUCCAACUGUAAUACUGCGCCCUCACAGCUUUUAUCACACAAUUACCUUCAUUCCAAUCAUUGAAAAUCUUCAUAUAGAAGUGCCAUUCACAUUAAGGUAUUUCACACAAAUACAGACUCAUUCUCUCUGCUAAACUAUAAUCAAAUUUCAACAUUCAAUCUUUCUUCUUCUCAAAUAAUACCAAUCACAUUUUCUUUCCAUAAUUCACCUCACAAUAUUCAGAAACUUUCAAUUCUCUUAUUCAAAGAAAAAAACAACUAAAAGAAAAGAGGUAGCACUAAGCUUAUCCCGACUCAUACUAUCACAACGAUGGUACUUUAAUGAACUUUUAUGACUCCUAUAUACUUUCUCUUGAUUCUCUAGAUUUCAAUCGUAAUUCUAUAAUUAAUCACUUGUAAUAACUAAAUUACUCAUCCGUCCUCCUGAAUUUUCUAUUAUAUGGACUAUUAAUAUAUUUUAGCAAUAUGUUUUAAAAAUGAAUUAAUAUCUAUUCUACAUAGCCCCACUCCUAUUUGUGCAGCGUCCUCGUAAAUACUCAAUUGAUACCUAUCUAAAAAUUAUCUAAUAAAACUCUAAAAAAAUUGUGAUCUCUGUGGCUUAUCUAAUUAAUCAAUUGCCAUAGUAUUUGUUAUUGGUUCUACCGAUUUUAGUUCCAACUGCAAAUCUUCGUCCUCCUCCAAUCCAUCCAUCGGCUCCUGCCUCAACUGAGUUGAAAGGUCUUCAUUGUACUCGCCCAAUUCACGGACUUCAUCCUCAAAUUUCAAGAUUUGGACAUCUUGAAGUUCUAAUUGUUGUUGCUAUUGAUUCAUCCAUUCUGAAAUAUCUUUAAUCAAUACUUAUGACUGGCUGUUCACUGUUAACUUUUAUUUGGAACUACUAUUCUCAAAAAUAUAAGAAAUAUAAGAAAAUGGCACUCUAACUAAUCCAAAACAACACCACAGAAUGACUUUAAUUGGUGCCCCACUCCUAUUCUUUUACCACCUACUGAUUAUAACAAUAUGUUAUCCAUACUAUCUGUGAAAGGUAAUGGAAAGUAAUCUUUAUUGGUGACCGCAUUAAGUUUCUAAAAAUCUUGACAAAUUUGGAUUUUUCCAUUCUUUUUCAAUACUAUCACAAUUGAUGACACCCAUGCACUAUGCGGAACAGGAUAAAUAAAAUCCACAUCGAGAAGUUUAUUCAGUUCUUCUUUCACUAAAAGAGAAUUUUUGGGUUAAGGCGAUGUUGCCUCUGUUGUAUCGAUUUAACGUUCUCGUCUAAAAUGAUAUGUUACUCACAGACUUCAAUGGAAAUACCUUUUAAAUCAUCAUAAGUCCAAGCAAAAGCAGAUUUAUGAUGCAAGAAAAAUUUAAUCUAGUAGAUCAACUCUUGUUCUUUAAUACCUUGGUAGACCUUAAUUGUCUAAGAUUCUAUUGUGGUCGCCAAGUUGAUAGUUUGAUAUAAAGAUGCAAUGAUGAUUUUCUGUUUCAAUCACCGUGUUGAUUUUAAGUCAGUCGGUAAGUUCGAUAUGUAUGAAGUAUUGAAUCCUGUGUCUAGGGCACUAACAUGGUGCAUAUCAUACUUGGUUAUCCAUACAAUACUAACAUAAUCUGAGUUUUUCGAGUCCAUUGAGUAUAUCAAGUACUCCCCUAGACCUCUACAUUGGUACACCACUCUAGGGUGUAGUGUUGCUUCCAUGGGGGCCUCCAUAAUUGCAGCUACUACAUCAUCAUCAGAGCUAAGUUUAUCGUCCGACGCUAAUUCAGAUGCUCGCAAUUAAGAUUCCUCGUGAUAAUGUACUAGGUAUAUUUGUAACACCAUUUUGUCUCCACCCUUACCAAUUAUCAAAGUACCCCAACUCCAAUCGUUCUUAGCCUUUGCUUGAUAAAGUCAGGGUCGUCCCAAUAAAAUUGGAUACGACAACAUUGAAUAUAGUAACCAAAAGUCAAUAUAGUCGAUUUUAUAUGCAAUACUGACAAUCAUAGUUUGAUCACUCCAUAAGAUACCUAUUGGUUUAACACGGCUAUGAUCUGCCAUCCGUAAUACCAAUAUCGUGGGUACUAAGUGUUUUAAAUCUAAAGCAUCUAUUGUAUCAGCGUUCAUUAAAUUGAUGCUGGAACUACCAUCCACCUGAACACCCAAGAUCAUAACACAGUCAAUCGAAACAUUGAUGGUUGGUGCACCUGGGUCAAGAUUCAAACUGACUUCACAAACUUCUUUAUUAUGGUACCUAUGCUGUAGAAUAGAUAUUAAUUCGUUUAUGAAAGAUAUUGGUAAAAUAUAUUAAUAGUCCAUAUAAUAGCAAAUUCAGGAGGACGGAUGAGUGAUUUUGUUAUUAAAAGUGGUUAAUUACAAAAUAAUGAUUAGAAUCAGGAGAAUCAGGAGAAAGUAUAUAGGAGUUAUAGAAGUUAAUUAAGGUGCCAUCACUGUGAUAGUUGUGAGCCGGGGUAGGCUUGGUGCUACCUCUUUUCUUUUAUUUGUUAUUUUCUUUGAAUAAGAAGAUUGAAAGUUUCUGAAUAUUGUAAAGUGAAUUAUAGAAAGGAAAUGUGAUUGGUAUUAUUUGAGAAGAAGAAAGAUUGAAUACUGAAAUCUGAUUGUAGUUUAGAAGAGAGAAUGAGUCUGUGUUUGUGUAAAACAUCGUAAUAUGAAUGGCAAUUUUGUGUGAAGAAUUUUAGUGAUUGGAAUGAGAAUAAUUGUAUGCUGAAAGUUGUGAGGGCACAGUAUUAUAGUUGGAGAUUAUGAGGGUGAAUAUAUUGGUGGAAAUAGCAGUUAUUGGUAUGAUUGAAUUGCUGUAAGGAAGAGAUCGAUAAGGUGAAGGAAGAGAUUAUAGUUUCUUUGUGUGUUCAGAUAUUGGAAAUAGAAACGAUACAUUCAGGAGGUAAUUGAUUGUAUGACCCUAAUGUGAACGCUUAAGCAACUAGUCAUUCCCUGUGUUUGAAUCCACAUAUAUGGGUUUAUUCUAGGAGGUUUCUUCGGCAAUAAGUAAAACAAGCAAUCAUAUUUUGGUGCUGCUGUGGGGGAAUAAUAAUAGCUUUGAGUGUUAGGAAUUUAUUACCAAAUGUGUGAGAAAAUUGGCAAUGGAAGUCGAUUUCAAUAGUGUUUGAAGCAAGAUUAUGAUUAAUAAGAACGAGAGCAUUGCAUCGAGGAAAAUAAAUCAGUUGAGAGAAAGACAGAGAAGAGCACAAGGAACAAACUUGCUUAUAGAGGAGCAAGAACAUAAUCUUAAAAGGAAGCAUCCACAGAAUUGGAUUAAAUCAUGGUUGCAAGCUUGUCGGUGCAUCCGAACAUAUCAAGAACUGGACAGACUGUUAAUUCUGCAGUCAUAUGUACCGUUAGAAAAAUUGCCAAGAACACUCGCGGGAAAUUUUGUUAACAUUCCAGUGGAAAUCUUGAGGCCAUUAAUUGAAAGAGAAGGAGGCAUAGAAGAAUUUGGUAUUCCAUUGGGUAUUUUUCUAGUAGAGGGUACUGCUGAAACGAGCAAUAGUGGCUCUUCAGUUUGGCACAAAUUGGUCGCCAAUAAUGAUAACUAUAUUGUAUUUCAAAAUCUAAUGUUUUCACUUGUAAUUCAACCAAUAAAACUAAUUGUGGAAAAUAACAGUAAAUCGAGGAGCACUGAGAGCUCGAAACUUAGAAUAAGAGAAAGCAGAGAUUAUUUUAAAAUGGAGUUUAGUGGAAUAAGAAAUUCAAUGGCGUGAAGAGGACCAGCCAUUUCGAUUGCAGUACAAAUGGAUGUAGUAGGCAAUUAUACGACUAGUGUCGUGCCACUACCUACUUUUCAGGGAUUUUUGGAUGCAAAACCCGAUCAACAUUUGUCUGAAUUUUUUACAGCAUGUAUAGUUAAUAAUGGCAGAACUGAAGAUAUUUGGUUGCGAUGGCUGCCAACAACCUUAAAAGAUACGACAUUUGAAUGGUACAAUUGCCAACUAGUGGGUCAAUUUUCGAGUUGGGAAGCAUUGAAGAAUACAUUUUUAUCUCAUUUUCGGCCAAUUGGUUUUGAGGACCGCCUUCGAGAGAGGUUAAUGAACAGCAAAAUGAUCUUAAAAGAGGCGGUGGAAUCGUACUAUGUCUGAGUGGCUGAUAUACUCAGUAAGUGGCCGAAUCACCAAAUGUCGGAGGCAUUUAUCUUAUCCAUAUUAAUCAAUGGUUUGCACCCACCAAAGCUAAAAAUGUUUGUAAAGGAAGCUCAAUCUGUUACGGUAGCAACAUCUCUUAAGAGAGCCAAGGUUUGGGAGGAAUGCCAUUAUGAUUAGUUUUUAAUUGCGGGAGCCAUGAUGAUUCUAGUUCAAGGUAGAUAUCAAAAUUCGACUUAGAAUGAAUCAGUGGGUAGUUAUCUACGGAUGUUAAAAACAGGGGCCAAUUCCAAUACCAAUAUUUAGGGGCCAGUUAAUGUCAUCCCAUUGCAAGCUAUACCACCAAACGUAAUAACAACGUAUACUCCAUAUUUUUUGUAUCAACAACAAGCAUUAUCUACGGUAGAGAUAUCAACAAUGCUAGCCUUAAAAGAUUCUAACAAAACCUUGUUAUUGAAUUUGACAAAGAAAAUGGAAAAAAUGGCCAUCAAUAUGACCAAAGAUAAGGAGAAGAGGCAAAAGCCUACUAAUAUUAUGACCAAUGUAUGGUGCAGUAAUUGUAAGGACCACAGUCAUUCUGUAACAGAAUACCCGUCACUCUCACAAAUAAUGAGUCAAUAUACAUUUUGUGGAGGAAAGCACCUAAUAGCAAAUUAUUGAAAUUGGUAAAGAAAACAACAAUAAUUUAGUAAUCAGACCAUGAUCCCACCAACCGAGCAGGACAUCAAUCAAGUACAAAUGAAAAAUACGUUUGGAUGGAUUGGAAAUCGAUUUAAUCGACAAAAUCGAACAUUCAAUAACUUUCAAAGUUCCAAUUUUAAUCAAGGAUCUGCAUCGAACUCCCAGAACUACAGUAAGGAGCAGUAGAGGUAUCUGCAAUAUGUUCUACCGACGUCAUCAAACCAAGUUCCCUCAGUACCAAUGAGACAAUCAGGAUCAUUUUCUAACACUACAUGGAACAAGCUUAGUAGGUAUAUAGUGGAGGAGGUAUCCAAUAUGCCUGAUGGGGUUGCAAGAAGACCACUUCGUUGUUUCUGUUGCUGACAGAUUGGUCAUUAUGCCAAUGAAUGUCUCAAUACUAGAGCCAAUUAUGAUUAUGUGUCAGUUUGUGGGAAUUGCAAGCAGUCGAGGCAAACCUAUCAGCAAUGUAAUGCUCCGUUCAAUUUCAAUAAUUGAGAUUAGUAGAUACAAAGCCAAGGAAAAUUUAAAGAGAUUAAUCAAGGUCCUAAAGAUUCUCCAAUAAAUCAGGUAGAAUGUGUCCAAGCUGUUCUUACCCGGAAUAAGUAAAAGAAAAAAGGACCAAUUCAAUAUUUGGGUAAUCUCGAUGCGAAAGACCAAUUUGAUCCAAUUAAGGGACCAUCCUAUCCAGGUCCUGUUACAGGUUUCGUACCCAGUAUGAGACUUGACUCGGUGGCACAACCUAAAGAGGUCCCAAUUACGGAGGGUUCGGUUCUGUUCCAAGUAGUUCUGAUCUCUACACAGUUUCAAGAACUGUUCUAUCCAUUGAAAGAUCCUAUUGGGGCGGAAAUUUGAAGGAAGCCUCGAUUGCUAUUCUAAUUCCAAGUCCAAGGCGGAAGAAUAUCUUACCUCAUGGAGUUAAACUCAAACCAAUGAAAAGAAAGAGGGCAUUGAAAAUUAUCCUAAAUAUGAAACCCUAUGAUAUUUUGAAGGAUCUGGACUUUAUUCGACCUUUUAUUUCUAUGAAGCAACUUCUAGUGAUCACACUAGAGUGCCGUUCUACAUUGAAUUCAUCCUUGAUACGGCAUAGGCACCAUAAUAAAGAAGUUUGUGAAUUAAAUUUGAACCUUGACCCAGGUGCACCAACCCUCAAUGUUUUGAUUGAUGGUGUUAUGAUCUUAGGUGUUUAGGUGGAUGGUGGUUCUAGUGUUAAUUUAAUGAACGCUGAUACAAUGGAUGCUUUAGAUUUGGAAUACUUAGUACCCACGACAUUGAUAUUAUUGAUGGCAGAUCAUAGUUGGGUUAAACUAAUGGAUAUCUUACAAAGUUAACUCUUGUUGUUGAUAUGGAAAAUAUGGAGCAUACAUUGUUGUCACGUUCGGUGGUAUAGCUUGCAAUGGGAUGACAUUAAUUGGCCCCUAAAUAUUGGUAUUGGAAUUGGCCCUUGUUUCUAACAUCCGUAGAUAACUACCUACAAAUUCGUUCUAAGUCGAAUUUUGAUAUCUACCUUAAUCUGGAAUCAUAGUGGCUCCCGCAAUUAAAAACUAAUCAUAAUGGCAUUCCUCCCAAACCUUGGCUCUAUUAAGAGAUGCAGCCAUCGUAACGGGUUGAGCUUCCUUUACAAACAUUUUUAGCUCUGGUAGGUACAAACCAUUGAUUAAAAUGGAUAAGAUAAAUGCCUCCGACAUUUGGUGAUUCGGCCGCUUACUGAGUAUAUCAGCCACUCGGACAUAGUACGAUUCCACCGCCUCUUCUAGGAUCAUUUUGUUGUUCAUUAACCUCUCUCGAAGGUGGUCCUCAAAACCAAUUGACCGAAAAUGGGAUAAAAAUGUAUUCUUCAAUGCUUCCCAAUUCAAAAAUUGACCCACUGGUUGGCGAUUGUACCAUUCAAAUAUCGUAUCUUUUAAGGUCGCUCGUAGCCAUUGCAACCAAAUAUCUUCAGUUCUGCCAUUAUUAGCUAUACAUACUAUAAGAAACUCAAACAAAUAUUGAUCAGAAUCUGCACCCGAAAAUCCCCGAAAAGUAGGUAGUGGUGCGACACUAGUCAUACGAUUGCCUACUUCACCCAUUUGUAGUGCAAUCGAAACGGCUGGUCUUCUUGACGCCAUUGAAUUUCUUAUCCCACUAAAUUCUAUUUUAAAAUAAUCUAUGCUUUUCCUUAUUCUAAUUUCCGAGCUCUCAGUGCUCCUUGAUUUAUUGUUAUUUUCCACAAUUAGUUUUAUUGGUUGAAUUACAAGUGAAAACAUUAGAUUUUGAAAUACAAUAUAGUUAUCAUUAUUGGCAACCAAUUUGUGCCAAUCUGAAGAGCCACUAUUGCUCGUUUCAACAGUACCCUCUACUAAAAAAAUACCCAAUGGAGUACCAAAUUCUUCUAUGCCUCCUUCUCUUUUAGUUAACGGCCUCAAGAUUUCCACUAGAAUGUUAACAAAAAAUUUUGCAAGUGUUCUUGGCAGAAUUUCUAACCAUACAUACGGCUGCAGAAUUAAAAGUAUGUUCGGUUCUUGAUAUGUUUGGAUGUGUCGACAAGCUUGCAACCAUGAUUUAAUCCAAUUCUGUGGAUGCUUCCUAUUAAGAUUACGUUCUUGCUCCUCUAUAAGCAAGUUCCUUCCUUGCGUUCUUCCUUGUCUUUCUCUCAACUGAUUUAUUUUCCAAAAUGCAAUGCUCUCAUUCUUAUUAACAAUAAUCUUGCUUCAAAUACUACUAAAAUCAUCUUCCAUUGCCAAUUUUCUCACACGUUUGGUAAUUAAUUCCUAACACUCAAAGCUAUUAUCACUCUCCAGUAGUAGUGCCAAAAUGUAAUCUUGUUUUACUUAUUCCAAAUUAAUCUAAUGGAAAUGAACCUGUACAGGGAGAUUCGAACACGAAGAAUGACUAGUUGCUUAAGCGUUCAUGUUAGAGUCAGACAAUCAAUUAUCUCUUAAAUGUAUUGUCUCUAUUUCCAAUAUCUAAACACACAAGGAAAUUAAAAUCUCUUCCUUCACCUUAUUGGUCUCUUCCUUAUAGCAAUUCAGUCAUACCAAUAACUGCUAUUUCUACCUAUAUAUUCACCCUCAUAAUCUCCAACUAUAAUACUGUGCCCUCAAAGCUUUCAUCAUACAAUUAUCCUCAUUCCAAUCACUAGAAUUCUUCACAUAGAAUUGCAAUUCACAUUACAGUGUUUCACACAAACAUAGACUCAUUCUCUCUGCUGAACUACAAUCAGAUUUCAGCAUUCAAUCUUUUUUCUUCUCAAAUAAUAUCAAUCACAUUUUCAUUCCAUAAUUCACUUUAUAAUAUUCAAAAACUUUCAAUCCUCUUAUUCAAAGAAAAUAACAAACAAAAAAAAGACGUAGUACCAAGCUAAUCCCGGCUCACAACUAUCAUAGCGAUAGCACCUUAAUUAACUUCUAUAACUCUUAUAUACUUUCCCCUGAUUUUCUAGAUUCUAAUUGUAAUUCUGUAAUUAACCACUUUUAAUAACUAAAUCACUCAUCCGUCCUCCUAAAUUUCCUAUUAUAUGGACUACUAAUAUAUUUUACAAAUAUCUUUCAUAAAAGAAUUAAUAUCUAUUCUAUACAAUGCAAGGUAGAGAUUUGACAACUAUGAAGAUACCAUUGGGAUUGGUUGGAAUGUGUACAUUACCACAAGGGGCUACAAAUUCUGUGGCACACAUGAUGAAUAGAAUGCAUAAGGUACUAAGAGAUUUUUUUCUAAGAAUUACAAUGCCUUUUUUAGAUGAUGUGCUAAUUAUGGGAUGUGAAGAAGAAAAAAAGGAUGACACAUUGAAUUCAAAGGAAUGUAGGAAGUUUGAGGUAGAUCAUAUUGAUGAUUGUGAGAAGAUUUUGACAAGGUUAGAAGAAGUUCAUUUAACCUUAUCGGAGACAAAAUCAAUAUUUGGAGUAAAAGAAGUUUUGGUAGUGAGGCACAUGUGUGGUACAUAUGGACGCAAACCAAGUAGAAGAAGAAUUGAUAUUAUAAAAAAAAAUGAAAGAGUGUGUAAAUACAACGGAAGCCAGGAGGUUUUUAGGAGCAUGUAUUUUCUAUCAUAUAUGGAUACUUCAUUUUACAUGUAUAGCAGAUCUAUUAUAUGAGUUGGUAGGAAAGAAUAAAAAAUUUCAAUAGAAAGAAGAACAAAGAAAAGCUAUGGCAAAGUUAAAAGAAUUUCUUUCUUCACCUCCAACUUUGAAGAAAGCAAAUUAUCAAUGUGGAAGGCCAAUAAUAUUAACAAUUGAUACAAGUCCAAUUGGAAUAGGUUGGACAAUUGGACAAGAUGAUGAACAAGGGAAUAGAUAUGUAGUAAGGUUUGGAGCAAAGGUUUUGAAUGCUAGACAAAGGAUAUAUGCACAAAUCAAAAGAAAAUUAUGGAGUGUAGUAAUAGCUAUGAAAAAUGAAAAAAAAUAUUUGAUUGGUGCAUUAGUAGUUAUAGAAACAGAUUAUCUACUUUUAUUGGGUAUGAUUAGAAGUUGUUCAACUUCUGAUAUUGCUAUGUUAAGGUAGAUGGCAUAUAUCAAAUCUAUAAAUCCAAAUUUUAAACAUAUUACAAGAAAAGAAAAUUCAAUCGCAGAUAUGUUAUCAAGAGUAAGGUAUUAUGAUGAAGAAGAUAUGAUAGAUUUAGAAGCUGAUAUGGGUACAAAUUUUUAUACUAAUGCAUUAUCAAAAGAAAAAAAUAUAUGUUUAAAUAUACCAUUAGAAAUAUUUUCAAGAGAUCUAUAUGAAGAAGAAUGGAAAGACAUUGAGGAGUAUUCAAGCACAUUAAAGUGACAAGAUAGUUGGACAGAUCAAGAAUUUAAGAAAAUCCAAAAGAAUGCCUAUGGAUAUUUUUUACAAGAUGGAUAUUUAUGGAAGCAUCCAAAGAAGAGAGGAAAAGUACCACAACAAGUGAUAUGUGGUUUAGAAGCUCAAAAAAAGAUUAUUAGGGAAUUUCAUGAAAGUUUAUAGGCAGGGCAUCGAGGUAUUUAGGCAACAUUUAUUAAGUUGAAAGAAAAAUAUUGGUGGAAGGGUAUGUAUAGGGAUGUGGCGGAUUUUGUAGGAUCUUAUGAAACUUGCCAAAUAUAUUCAAAUAUUUGUCAUCGAGAUGGUUUACCUCCUAUAUAUCCAUUAGUAAUUCAUUAUAAAUGGAUGGUUGAUUUAGUUGUAAUGCCAAUGGGAUUUGGUCAGAGGAAAUAUUUGGUACUUGCUCGAGAAGAUUUGACAAAUUAAGUAGAGGGAAGAGUACUUUCAACAAAGACUACGAAAGAGAUAUGUUGGUUUAUAUUAGAAGAAAUUAUUUGUCAGUAUGGAUGUAUUGGAAAAAUCACUGCUGAUAGAGGAGAAUUGGAUGCAAAUGAAGCAUGAGAGUUCUUUGAAAGGAUGGAUAUUAAACUUGCAUUGACAAUAGCAUAUAAUCCGGAAGGGAAUGGCAAGAGUGAAUGUGGAAUUCUCUGAUUAUUAAAACAUUGGUUAAAGCAUGCAAGGGCAAGAUAAGUGAUUGGCCAAAAUUAUUACCAUUUGCAUUAUGGAUGGAUCGUACAACUCAUAGUACGGUUACAGGAUACAUGCGAGCAGAAUUAAUGUAUGAUCAAAAACUGGUAAUGCCGAUAGAGGAGAUUUUAUCAACAUGGGCUAUAUUACCUUGGAAAGAUGGUUUAACAAGAGAAGAAUUAUUGGCAUUACGAAUUCGAAAACUUGAAAGAAGGCUUGAGGACAUUGAAAUAGUUGUGAGAAAGUUGAAAGAAGCAAGAAAAAAAAACAAGGAGAGGUUUGACAAAAAGCAUCAAUUGCGUCUAAAACCAAUUCAAAAUGGUGAUUGGUUUAUGAUAGUAAUUUGGACAACCAACAUAAUACAACAAAGAAAUUUGUAAGGAGAUGGUUUGGACCUUUUAUUGUCAAACUAGUGCACGAGAAUGGAACAUACUUAUUACGAGAGCUGGAUGGUAUAGAUUUAAAGAUACUAAUAGUAGGGAAGCGAAUCAAAUUAUUUAAUCAAAGAAGUAAAGACAUUUGUUUUGAUGAAGAACAAAAUCUAAUAGGAGAUAUUGAGAUGGAAGAAAAAGAGCAAAAUGAAGAUCAAGAAAUUGACCAAGAUGAAGAACAUUCGAUAUCAAUAUAAUGAAGGAACUUGGUGCAUACUAGAAGAUGUACAGGUGCAGUGGAAAUGGAUGUUGUAAUAUAACAUGGCUAACAAGUGAAAGGGUAAAGAUAAUAUCAUAUUUUGAGGAUCUCACUUUAAAAAUAUUUUACCAAGUUAUCUUGGAAAAAUAGAUAUUAGUCAAAGGGUAAAAAAUUUAAAGGUGCUAAUGCUGCCUUUUUACAAAUUAUGCUUCUAUUUACUUUGUAAGACCAUAAAUAAGACAAAACAAGGUAGAUUAGAAAAAUAAAGAAUAUUUACUUAUGUAAGGAGGAGUUAGGAGUGCAAAUUAGUAAAAAUUACCUCAAGAAGUCGAAAGUUGAUACCCAAAGAGGACCGGUUAUGAACUUGGAUCAAAAUCAGAUCCUAAGGCACAAAACCAUGCUCUGAUGGCGACUCAAGGGUUCUUUGGGAGAUUAGAGAGCCGAAUUGGAGGGCAAAGUUGUGAAGGGAUUUUUGAGAUGUGAUUUUGUAUCGUUUGGAUUAGUAUUGGAUUUUUGAGGGAUUUUCAAAGCGAGUGAUGUUCUCUGUGAAUUCAGAUCUUUGAGAAAUAAAACCGGUUUUUAAAUGUUUGGUUUUCAUAUCUUUUGUAGCAUUUUAUGGGCAAUAAUUUAGAAACUCAUUGGUAUGCUUUUUAUGAAUGUGUUUAAGAGAUUUGAGGUCAAUCGAAUAGUUAGAUCGAUACAUAUGAAGGUUUUUGUGGGCUAAGGUCUCGAGAUUUAGGGUUUUGAAGCCCAGUAAGGUUUUCUUUGAUAUCUUGCAAUCUGCUUAUUAGAUUGGAGAGAUUUUUGGAUUUAUCAGUAGAAGACUUGAUUUCUUAUAUGCAAUUAAAAUUUGGAAGCAAUCAAAUAGUAGAAAAAGGAGAUAGCAGUAUUGGAAGUUGGCAUCAAGAUUGUAGAAGGAGAGACUAGCCAAUAUCGAAGCGGAAUUUUGAGGUCAUCGACUAAUUAGUAAGUGCGAUUUUCUUCAAAAUUUGUGUUUGGGUUUUUAAUUUAAACUCCAACAAGUGUGAAAAUUUUAAAUUAGAAUCAACAAUUCAAUCUUUAGUUAUUUAAUUUUCAAAUCUAUAAUUAGGGUUUGGAUUAGGAUUUAGGAUUUGGUUUAGGAUUUGAUUAGAGAUUGGUUUAAGGUUUAGGAUUUGAUUAAGGUUUGAUUAGGAUUUAAUUUAGGAUUUAGGAUUUAUCUAGGAUUUGAUUAAGGUUGGAUUAGGAUCAGGAUUUGGUUAGAAUUUAAGAUUUAUUUAGAUUUUUGUUAGAAUUUGACCAAGUUUUCUUUAAUAUUCUUUUAUAUUUCUUUAGGAUUUUCUUGUGUUUUUUUUUAUAAAUUCAAUAAAAUUUAAUUGAGCUUCCUUAAUAUUUGAUUAUGAUUAUUAAUAUUUAAUUAUAAUUUCUCUAUAAUCCUAUUAGAUUUAUAGGUCUUUUUAUUACAAUUUUUUUUUAUCUUCCACACCUAAUUGCUCAAUGCAUUCUCAAGCAAGACUUCA